AGGUGAAGCUGCAGCCACCCAGCUGUGUGUGCGGACCCGGGCAUUUCUGUGCUCUUGGGGGCCAGGGACAGGCAGGGUCCCCGCCUCCUGGGGUGCAGCUACAGCCGCCCAAGCCAUGGCUACGGACCCAAGCAUCUCUGCACUCUCCGGGCCCGGGAAGCAGCCCCUUGCCCCAGCAGGCUCAGAAGUGCCUGCUCUCACUGCCUGGCCUCUCCCGGCGCCCUCUCCGAUCUCAGAGCAAAGUUGAGGCCAAGCCCAGGUGCUGUCACAAACCCAGUCGGCUGUGCCCACUCUUGGGGCAGUGCUGACACAUCAGGCCCCUGCCGCCUCAGCCCUCUCUGGAUUUUGGGCACUGACGAGCAUGGGCUGUGACACCCUCUUUGGGGCUCUGCGGUUCCUGGCAUCUCCAAUCUUCUGGGCGCUACUGCGUUCCCUGGUGCCAGCCAUGGAAGCUGCUUGCAGUAAGCCUGGUCUAGCCGCAGCCUCACAGGGAGCCGGCACCCGUGCGGGCACCUGGAGCUGCCCCACCCCCCGACCCCCAGCCGGCAUGCCUGGCUGUGCGCAG
rnacentral:lncRNA from 1 species